rnacentral:rRNA from 1 species
AACGAACGCUGGCGGCAUGCCUAACACAUGCAAGUCGAACGAGACCUUCGGGUCUAGUGGCGCACGGGUGCGUAACGCGUGGGAAUCUGCCCUUGGGUUCGGAAUAACAGUUAGAAAUGACUGCUAAUACCGGAUGAUGUCUUCGGACCAAAGAUCUAUCGCCCAAGGAUGAGCCCGCGUCGGAUUAGCUAGUUGGUGAGGUAAAGGCUCACCAAGGCGACGAUCCGUAGCUGGUCUGAGAGGAUGAUCAGCCACACUGGGACUGAGACACGGCCCAGACUCCUACGGGAGGCAGCAGUGGGGAAUAUUGGACAAUGGGCGAAAGCCUGAUCCAGCAAUGCCGCGUGAGUGAUGAAGGCCUUAGGGUUGUAAAGCUCUUUUACCCGGGAUGAUAAUGACAGUACCGGGAGAAUAAGCCCCGGCUAACUCCGUGCCAGCAGCCGCAGUAA